UACCACUUGAAUUAUAGCAUAAAUGGUAUUUCCUGCCCAAUGAGACAUUUAAUGGCCGCGGUAUACUGACCGUGCAAAGGUAGCAUAAUCACUUGCCUAUUAAUUGUAGGCUAGAAUGAACGGAUAGACGAAGUAGUAGCUGUCUCUAAUAGUAUAAUAAAAAUUAAUAUUUUAGUGAAGAAGCUAAAAUCAAAUUACAGGACAAGAAGACCCUAUAGAGCUUUAUUUUAACACAUAUAAAAAAUGUAUAUAAAUUCAGUUGGGGCGACUAAGGAUAAAAUCAUCCUAUAAAUUAAAGAUAUACACAUCAAUCCACAGAUCCUAAUAAUAGAUCAAAGAAACCAGCUACCUUAGGGAUAACAGGCUAAUUUUUCUAGAGAGUCCAAAUUAAUAGAAAAGAUUGGCACCUCGAUGUUGGCUUAAGAUAUCUAUAAGAUGCAGCAGUCUUUAUAGUGGGUUUGUUCAACCCAU
rnacentral:rRNA from 1 species